rnacentral:rRNA from 1 species
CAGUCGAACGGCAGCACGGGCUUCGGCCUGGUGGCGAGUGGCGAACGGGUGAGUAAUGCAUCGGAACGUACCGUGUAAUGGGGGAUAACGUAGCGAAAGUUACGCUAAUACCGCAUACGCCCUGAGGGGGAAAGCGGGGGAUCGUAAGACCUCGCGUUAUACGAGCGGCCGAUGUCGGAUUAGCUAGUUGGUGGGGUAAAGGCCUACCAAGGCGACGAUCCGUAGCGGGUCUGAGAGGAUGAUCCGCCACACUGGGACUGAGACACGGCCCAGACUCCUACGGGAGGCAGCAGUGGGGAAUUUUGGACAAUGGGCGCAAGCCUGAUCCAGCCAUGCCGCGUGAGUGAAGAAGGCCUUCGGGUUGUAAAGCUCUUUCAGACGGAAAGAAAUCGCGCGCUCUAACAUAGCGCGUGGAUGACGGUACCGUAAGAAGAAGCACCG